CAGGAAGGAAGCAGCAACAAAAGAGGUGUGCGUGCGUGCGG
rnacentral:SRP_RNA from 1 species